rnacentral:rRNA from 1 species
UGGGGAAUUUUGCGCAAUGGGGGAAACCCUGACGCAGCAACGCCGCGUGAGUGAUGAAGGCUUUCGGGUCGUAAAGCUCUGUCAGAGGGGAAGAAAUGGGUCUGGCUAAUAUCCAGAUUCCUUGACGGUACCCUCAAAGGAAGCACCGGCUAACUCCGUGCCAGCAGCCGCGGUAAUACGGAGGGUGCAAGCGUUGUUCGGAUUUAUUGGGCGUAAAGCGCGUGUAGGCGGUUUCUUAAGUCUGAUGUGAAAGCCCUGGGCUCAACCCAGGAAGUGCAUUGGAUACUGGGUGACUUGAAUACGGGAGAGGGUAGUGGAAUUCCUAGUGUAGGAGUGAAAUCCGUAGAUAUUAGGAGGAACACCGGUGGCGAAGGCGGCUACCUGGACCGAUAUUGACGCUGAGACGCGAAAGCGUGGGGAGCAAACAGGAUUAGAUACCCUGGUAGUCCACGCCGUAAACGAUGAGAACUAGGUGUUGCGGGUAUUGACCCCUGCAGUGCCGCAGCUAACG